rnacentral:tRNA from 1 species
AGCAGGGUAGAGCAGUGGCUGUGCUCGUCGGUCUCAUAAGCCGAAGAUCAUGGGUUCGAAUCCCAUCCUUGCGACCA